AACAGCAAUUCCCUGCAUGUGAACCUUGAAAAAAAACAAAUACAUAGGCCAAGGCCAUUGAUCAGGCAGCACAAAACCAGUAUAUCAGAACAGAAUUAAAACAAACUCAUGUUCCAAGCAGUCAAUCCAAUGUCAAGGUUAAUACUAAAUUACUAAUCUUGAACAGUUGAACUAUAUUAAUUUAUGGAAAAUGUCUAAAAUGCUUAAAUGCAUUUGUAGAGAGAGAGAGAGAAGAGAGAGAUUUAGCUGAGAAUAUGCUGUAGGAGAGAGAAACAGAGGAUGAAUAUCUGCUUUGUGGACUGGAAGCAGAGUUAAACCAGAGCUGCACCACCACCGUCGUCUCCUCAAGAUCACGAUGUCGUUUUCAGCUGAGGAACCAACCGCAGACCCUAACUCACCAAUGAAGAAGACGCCACCAAGCUGGUCAGACCUCUGGCUCAAGAAUACCAAACCCUUAAAACAUGUUGUCUUCGCUAUGCAUCUCCAGUCUCUCUCUAGCCCCACUGCCACCAAAGACUCCAAAACCAAGAACCAAACACUAUUCUCCAAUUUCUCCAAAAUCGACCGUACACUUCUCUUAAGCGACGAGCUUCUCCUCAAAAUCCUGUCCAAACUACCCGAUUCGCAGAGAAACUCUAACUUUCUUGUUUGCAAGCGGUGGCUUAAUCUCCAAGGCCGCCUUGUGCGGUCCUUGAGGGUGUUAGAUUGGGAGUUUAUAGAGUCUGGUCGCUUAAUUGCAAGAUUCCCAAAUCUGACCCAUGUGGAUUUGAUCAAUGGUUGUAUUAUUACGCCUCAUGAUUCUAGUAUUUGGUUAAAUCACAGGUUCCUUUCGAUGCAUAUCAAUUCUGAGAUUUCCGGGUUUGUUCCAAAUUGGCGUAUUUGUGAGGAAAGUUUGUUGUCUGUUGAGGUAGUUGAUAGAGGGCUUAAAGCAUUGGCCAGUGCUUGCCCUAAUUUGCGCAAGCUUGUAGUGAUUGGUGCGAGUGAGUUAGGUUUGUUGAAUGUAGCUGAGGAAUGUCUAACUUUGCAAGAACUGGAGUUGCAUAAAUGCAAUGAUAAUGUCUUGCGUGGGAUUGCAGCAUGCGACAAUUUGCAGAUCUUGAAACUUGUAGGAAAGGUGGAUGGCCUUUACAGCUCUUUGGUUUCGGAUAUUGGAUUAACCAUUUUGGCUCAAGGGUGCAAGAGAUUAGUGAAGCUUGAGCUCAGUGGAUGUGAGGGUAGCUUUGAUGGCAUUAAGGCAAUUGGACAGUGUUGCCAAAUGCUCGAGGAAUUAACACUUACUGAUCAUAGGAUGGAUGAUGGGUGGUUGGCUGCGCUUUCAUAUUGUGAGAAUUUGAAAACUUUGAGGUUUUUGUCAUGCAAGAAGAUUGAUCUUAGUUCAGGGCCAGAUGAUUAUUUGGGUUCCUGUCCUGCCCUGGAAAAUCUGCAUUUGCAGAAAUGUCGGUUCAGGAACAAAAAGAGUGUCAGAGAUUUGUUUAAGGUGUGUGAAGCUGUUAGGGAAAUUGUUGUUCAGGACUGUUGGGGACUGGACAAUGAUAUGUUUAGCUCGGCAAGUGUUUGCAGGUAAUAGGCUUUUAUGCUUUCUUUGGUCACCUUUUUACCUUGGUGGUUGAUGCUUCCAUGUUAUUGAACUAUUGCAGAUGAACGUUCUUUCAUAGUCAUACAAACGUUAUGAAAAUCUUUUUUAUUGUUGUUUGCUACAAUGAUUUUCGUAAUCAUGUUGCUAGAAUGAUUUUCGUAGUUCAUAUGAUUAAUAAAAUGCAACCAAAAUGCUAGCAUUAUUAUUGGCGUCUAACUGCAUGGCUGGAAUAUCAUUUAUUUGUGUUUCGAACUAGUUAAUUGACAUUGGCUCUAGAUACCAUGGGAGCCAGUUUGUAUGAUAGGUUCUACUACUUCAGCUGUGCAUUUUAGUUGUAUUAGACUGCUGUUACACAACUAGGUUGGUGCAAGUUUAACUAGAGAAAACCUCGAUGGAUAGUAUUUCCAUGGACAGGCAAGAAAAGUGGAAUAUUCUUUGUUUCAGCUAUACCAGAAAGAAAUGCGUAUGGGAAUAUUGUUCGAUAGCUGAUCUACUGGCAUUUGACAGUUUCUUUUUGAUAUAAAUGGCGGAUAUGACAAUUGGACAAGUUCUUAGGUAGUAUUAAAUAAUUUAUACAGUAAAUAUCUAUAUUUUGGACUAGAUUUCGUUUUAUGGACAUCUAUAUAUAAAUACUUGGUUAGAAUUCAUGUCUAGGGCUCUAAACUUCAACUAGUUAAAGUUGCAUAAUAGAGAGGUAAUGGAUUAUCCUUUCAUUACAGGAGGGUAAAGUUACUAUCUCUAGAAGGAUGCUCCUUGCUAACGACACAGGGACUGGAGUCUGUACUUGUCAACUGGAAUGAACUUCAACAUCUUAGAGUACAGUCCUGUAAGCACAUAAAGGAUUGUGAAGUCUCUGCUGCACUUUCAACCUUAUUCUCUGUUCUUAAAGAGUUGAAAUGGAGACCAGAUACCAAAUCCCUUCUCGUGUCCAGUCUUGUGGGGACUGGCAUGGGAAAGAAAGGCGGUAAAUUUUUCAAGAGGUCACAAGCCUUGAAGUUGUUGUCUGAUGAUUAACCUCUGCAAUUUGAGUAUACCUGGAUGAUUCGCACUGCUGCUGCAAAUAUUGGACUCAUAUCAGUAUAAAUUUAGUUAUUCUGGCUGGCAUAAAUCUUAUGGUAAUUUUUCUUGUUUUUGAUCUUCACUUACAUGGAGGAGCAAGCUUAAGCUUUGAUGGAUACUAGCUUGGGAAAGAAGAUCAUCCUCUGUGGACAUCAGGUGCUUGUCCAACAGGUAUCAAACUUGUGGAGGCAAAGAACAUGCUUUUGACUUGUUGUAUCUGCCAAUCCUUCCUGUUUGUAAUUAACAGAUCAGAUCAUUACGGCUGUCAAAAUAUAUAUCUGAUCAACAGCAGGUUGUAUCGUCGUCCAUUAGCUUGUUGAUUUCUAGCACGCAGAAUGUUAUUAUUUUUGCUGGGAAAGUUAUCAAAAUUAUCGGACGUUACGUAUACUGUAAUUGUUUUUGAAGACUGAAUCCUCGGUCUUUAAGAAGCAGCUCAUUCUGCUAAAUUAUUCAAGAACGUAUGUUACAGAUUAAAAACUAUGUCACGUAUUGAUCUAAAUCAAUUGUUGGAUCUCUUGAAUGUUUUUGCAAAAUUGAUAUCCUCAAGUCGACCCGAGGACACAUCACUUUGCGGAAGAGCAACUGUAUCGACCAUCUCCAACCUCUGUCGCUCCAAUUCAAAGUGAACCAAUUUGCCUGGAAAAUUAUGUCGUUGGUGUUCUUUCCUGGUAUGUUCACUUGGUCAGCAAGAAGAUUAGAAUAAGAUAAAUCAAAUUACUCAAUUAAUGUACGUUAUUUACUUUUAUAUUUUUUAGUUUUUCAAAGAAAAUAACCAAAAAUAUAUAUUGUAGAAAGUCUG
rnacentral:misc_RNA from 1 species